AAAGGUUACAUUUUUUUAUAUUUCUGGUAAUUUCUGACAAGACCCGACUGGCAACACUGCAAAUAAUCACUAGUGGUCAUACGCCAACGUCACUCGCCCGAAGCCAUAAAAAAGAAAACAAAAACUUCCGGUUCCGGAAGAAAAAACAGCCAAGUGUUUUGCACUUUUGCAGCAUACUCUCUAAUCUGUGUUUUGCAGUGCACAAAAUCAGUGGUAGAACGUAGAACCUACAAGUUUUUUUGUUUUGCACGGUGUUUUAUUUAAUAAACGCUUCUGUUGUGCGAAUUGGACGCGUGACGUGCUGAAGAUUAAAGACUUUGCAUAAUGGAAUCAAAAAAAUUUUUUUUGGUUACAUUUUUAGAUGAAGAUGAUGCUCCUGGCAUAGUUUCAUCAAAGUGGUUAAGAUACCAACACUUGUUAUUACCCUAAUGUAUGCACUGAAGAAAUCAAAAACAAACUUGAAGAAGAUGCCUGCACCUGAAGCAACAUGGUCACAAUAUCAAAUAAAAAUACUUAAAAGUUAUGAAACUUAUGGCGAAGCACGAUUACAUUUAAAAAAAGCGGAAGAAACCUGAAAUUUGGACUCAGACGAAGCAGAAAAUGAUGUUACAAAUGAAGUGACAGUGGACAUAAUGUCUGCUGUAAAUUACCCAGUCACCUCCGGUUCUAAAGAGGCCAAGCAAACACAACUCUAAAGCUGUUAACUGCCAAUCAGAGUGCAUUACAAACAAGCAAUAUGCUAUACAGCAGAGUCAUAUGAUUCAGAUUGUGUCAGACCUAGCUAACCAAAUGGCUGAAAUCAAUAGAAAAUUGGAUUUACCGUUAGCUAGGUCCGAAGAAACAUUUUCACCAACAGAUGACAAUGCAGGUCUUUCAGAACUUUUGGCAAGUCUACCAGUAAAAGAUAUUGCAAGUUUUAAUAAUUUCGAUGACCAUUUAAAAAUAAACAAGAAUACAGGCAAUAAUGUCAUUUUUGUCUGGUAUUGGCGGCAGAAAUGUAAGAAGCCUUACGACUAAUAUGUUGAGACGAAUAAUUCUAGAUGAUGUAGCCGAGUUGUAUUCGUUAACUGGGAAACAGAUGAAAAAUUCGAAUAAAAAGUCAUUUAUGAGUACAGAAACCUAUAAAUUAAUCUUUCAAAUAUGUAGAAAAAUCAACGAAGAUGUAACUGAAGACAGUCUAAAAGAAAUUAUAAGUGAUUGGCUAAAUCAAGCUAAAGUUAGACUUUCAAAAAGAGCAGAAACACAAAAUAAAGAAAAAAACCAAUAACGGCGACCAUGAAACCGAUUUUUUCUCAUUUAAAGUAAGAUAAGAUAAAAGUAUAAAUAAUAAAAAAAUAUAUGUUA